AUCUCAUUUCAUAGGAGAAGGAGAAGGAGAAGGAUUGACACUUAAAGCUCCUGUUCUUCAUAUCAAAUGCCAUUCAUAGCCAGGAGUAUUUGAAACAAGAGUUUACCAUAGGUGCAUGUAUUCUGACUUAUGGCGCAGUAAAAGUGGAAAGCUUCAAAAAAAAAAAAAAAAAAAAAAAAAACAGGUAUAUCUAAUGUCCUUGAUGGUUUUGAAGAUCAUUGCAUUUGUGAAGACAGACUAAAUGGUGAUAAAGACAUGAGUAAUGGUAAUGAUACAGACGACUUGCAAAAUGUAGCAGGCCACACAAAACAGCAGCACUUGAUAAUUUGAAGCCAAGGGAGUAGUAGUAGACAUGAAUAGCAGGCGAGACUGAAGAUACACGGAAGAAAAAAAGAUAUAGAUACCGCAAUGUUAAUAUCACUAUGUAUUCUUAUUACAGAGCAGGUUUCUUUUAAAUAAAUAAUAUUGUGAUAA